UUGGAGGGCAAGUCUGGUGCCAGCAGCCGCGGUAAUUCCAGCUCCAAUAGCGUAUAUUAAAGUUGUUGCAGUUAAAAAGCUCGUAGUUGAAUUUCGGGGUUCUACCGUUGGUCGGGCUUUGUCUGUACUGGUGUGUAGAAUUUCUACCUUCUGGGGAACCAUCAUGCUAUUAAUUUAGCGUGGUGGGAAACCAGGACCUUUACCUUGAAAAAAUUAGUGUGUUCAAAGCAGGCUUAUGUCUGAAUACAUUAGCGUGGAAUAAUAGAAUAGGACGGUGGUCCUGUUUUGUUGGUUUCUGAAUCACCGUAAUGAUUAAUAGGGAUAGUUGGGGGCAUUAGUAUUCAGUUGUCAGAGGUGGAAUUCUCGGAUUUAUUGAAGACUAACUUCUGCGAAAGCAUUUGCCAAGGAUGUUUUCAUUAAUCAAGAACGAAAGUUAGGGGAUCGAAGACGAUCAGAUACCGUCGUAGUCUUAACCAUAAACUAUGCCGACUAGGGAUCGGACGAUGUUAAUUUUUCUUGACUCGUUCGGCGCCUUACGGGAAAC
rnacentral:rRNA from 1 species